CCUACGGGGGGCUGCAGUGAGGAAUAUUGGUCAAUGGGCGUAAGCCUGAACCAGCCAAGUCGCGUGAGGGAUGAAGGUUCUAUGGAUCGUAAACCUCUUUUAUACGGGAAUAAAGUGUGGGACGUGUCCUGUUUUGUAUGUACCUUAUGAAUAAGGAUCGGCUAACUCCGUGCCAGCAGCCGCGGUAAUACGGAGGAUCCGAGCGUUAUCCGGAUUUAUUGGGUUUAAAGGGUGCGUAGGCGGCCUUUUAAGUCAGCGGUGAAAGUUCGUGGCUCAACCAGAGAAUUGCCGUUGAAACUGGGGGGCUAGAGAAUGUUUGAGGCAGGCGGAAUGCGUGGUGUAGCGGUGAAAUGCUUAGAGAUCACGCAGAACACCGAUUGCGAAGGCAGCCUGCCAAGCCAUGACUGACGCUGAUGCACGAAAGCGUGGGGAGCAAACAGGAUUAGAUACCCCGGUAGUC
rnacentral:rRNA from 1 species